GAUGAACGCUAGCGACAGGCUUAACACAUGCAAGUCGAGGGGCAGCAUGGGGGUUGCUUGCAGUCCCCGAUGGCGACCGGCGCACGGGUGAGUAACGCGUAUCCAACCUGCCCUUCACCCCGGGAUAACCGGGCGAAAGUCGGACUAAUACCGUAUGUUGUACAUUGACGGCAUCUGAGUUGGCCGAAUAGCAUGGCAGCGAGGGACGGGGUAGCGUCCGAUUAGCGAGACGGCGGGGUAAGGGCCCACCGUGGCUACGGUCGGUAGGGGUGCUGAGAGGAAGGUCCCCCACACUUGAGCUGCGACACGGUCCAGACUCCUACGGGGGGCAGCAGUGUGGUAGAUUGGUCAAUGGGCGUUAGCCUGAACCAGCCAAGUAGCGUGCAGGAGGACGGCGCUAUGAGUGGUAAACUGCUUUUAUGCGGGGAUAAAGUGUCCAACGCGUGCGCUUUUGCCGGUACCGCAUGAAUAAGGACCGGCUAACUCCGUG
rnacentral:rRNA from 1 species